AAUGUUACGGACAAAGAUGG
rnacentral:miRNA from 1 species